CCAUGGAGCUUUAAACUCACCAUGCACCUCUGUGUCCCCACACCAUCAAACACAGGAGAUCUGCACGCUAGUUUUAGGUUGGGGGGACCACGGAGUAUAAUUCAACCUCCAUAACAAAUGGGUUAACACCCUUAUCCACGAGACACAACUCUAAGAAUUACUAAACUAAUGCUUAUGACCCGAUAUUCGAUCAAUGAACCAAGUUA
rnacentral:rRNA from 1 species